rnacentral:rRNA from 1 species
CGGAUAGAGCCAGCAAACUCGUUCGUAUUCAGCCAAAGGCUUGUGGUCGCUAUACGUUAUGCUGUUAAUAACGCAUGGCGUUUAUCCGGCUGCAAGUUGAGGUGCAUUUGCGGGCGUAUGCGCUGAGACUUGUGGGGCAGCUUUUGAACCCGUUAACUAGAGGCCGUCUUUUAGACGGAACCUGGUGGCGGCGACGGCUGUUUGCUCUGCUCGUAUAUUGUACGGCCAACGGACCUAGCCUCGGUUGUAGUAUCAAUACGGUGGUAUCGCAUGCGAUGUCUAGUAUUGGAGCUGCAAUUUGGUCUGGUGUCCCCGUGCUUAUUCUCGGUGUAAAAGCUGGUCAUCUCUCUGACCCGUCUUGAAACACGGACCAAGGAGUUUAGCGUAUGCGCAAGUCAUUGGGUGUUAAAACCCAUAGGCGCAAUGAAAGUAAAGGCUCGUUUGGCGGGCUGACAUGCGAGUGCUUUGGCUUUGGCCUUAGCUUGCAGCAUGGUCCCGUUCUAGUCGCUUGCGACGGAGCGGAGACAGAGCGUAUGCGCUGAG